GACGAACGCUGGCGGCGUGCUUAACACAUGCAAGUCGAACGGAAAGGCCCUGCUUGCAGGGUACUCGAGUGGCGAACGGGUGAGUAACACGUGGGUUAUCUGCCCUGCACUUCGGGAUAAGCCUGGGAAACUGGGUCUAAUACCGGAUAGGAGCCAUUUUUAGUGUGAUGGUUGGAAAGUUUUUUCGGUGUAGGAUGAGCUCGCGGCCUAUCAGCUUGUUGGUGGGGUAAUGGCCUACCAAGGCGGCGACGGGUAGCCGGCCUGAGAGGGUGGACAGCCACAUUGGGACUGAGAUACGGCCCAGACUCCUACGGGAGGCAGCAGUGGGGAAUAUUGCACAAUGGGCGCAAGCCUGAUGCAGCGACGCCGCGUGGGGGAUGACGGCCUUCGGGUUGUAAACGCCUUUCGCUAGGGACGAAGCUUUUUGUGACGGUACCUAGAUAAGAAGCACCGGCUAACUACGUG
rnacentral:rRNA from 1 species